UGCCAAAGGAUCAGGAACCCAAACUGCAAU
rnacentral:piRNA from 1 species